GAAAUUAGCUGGGCUAUGAUAAAAGCUUCUUUAUAUUUUAUCAAUCGUGAUAGUCUCGUGAGGGUGAAUGAUAAAGAAGCAUACAGUGUGUUAUUUUCUUUUGUUGAACUCCAUGUUCUCACUCAGCUUGUUGUUUGUUUUUAUUUAUCUCUAACACCAGGAUCAUCACAACUGAUCAAUAUGAUUGGUAAUUCAUACCCAACGUCUGGAGGUUCAUUAUCCCAGAACCAAAUGCAACCAGGAAAUAAUUCUCUAGGUUCCAUGGGGAUGCUACAUGACGCCAGUGACAGCACUCCAUUCGACAUCAAUGAUUUCCCCCAAUUGACUGGUCGACCUAAUUCAGCUGGUGGUCCGCAAGGACAAUAUGGAUCACUACGGAAGCAAGGAGUUGGUGUUAACUCCAUUGUUCAACAAAACCAGGAGUUCAGUAUUCAGAACGAAGAUUUCCCGGCUUUGCCAGGAUUUAAAGGUAGCAGUUCAGAUUAUGCUAUGGAGUUAAAUCACACGGAACAACUUCACGAGAAUGUACCUGUAAUGCAAGGACAACAAUAUCCCAUGGCAAGGUCCGUUGGGUUUAAUUUAGGAAAUAGCUACCAACCAAAUCGUCAGCAACAUCUGCAGGGUGCUAAUUCAAUUCAGAGCGCCGGACCUCAAAAUAUUGGACUAAGACCACUAAACUCUUCGAGUCAAACUUCUAAUUUGGGAUCAUACGAGCAACUGCUCCAGCAAUACCAGCAGCCGAAGGCUCAGAGUCCUUUCGGGUUGCAGCAGAUGUCUUCAGCCACACAGCCAUAUGGGGAUCAUGGUCUAAAGCCCAUUCUGGGAGGCCGAACACCACCUGAUCCAUACGGCUUGUUGGGAUUGCUGGGAGUUAUAAGGACGAAUGAUCCUGAUUUGUCAUCUCUUGCUUUGGGAAUAGAUUUGACAACGUUGGGUUUGAAUUUGAACUCACCAGACAAUCUGUACAAGACAUUUGGCUCUCCAUUUUCAAAUGAGCCAGCAAAAGGAGAUCCAGAAUAUCCUACUCCAGCUUGUUAUGUGGCUGAGCAACCCCCAGCACUACAGCCUAUGCAUUUUCAGAAAUUUCAGACACUCAUACUGUUUUACAUAUUCUACAGCAUGCCGAAGGAUGAAGCUCAAAUAUGUGCUGCCAAUGAACUACAUAAUCGUGGAUGGUUUUACCAUAAAGAAGCGCAGCAAUGGUUCACAAGAAUUCCCAACAUGGAGCCUAUUGUCAAAACUCCUACAUAUGAACAGGGGUCUUUUGCCUUCUUUCAUCAAGGCAAUUGGGAAACAGUCCGUAAGGAUAACUUUGUUCUCCAUUAUGAGCUAGUAGAGAAAAGGCCUAGUCUCCCUUCCGCGUCCCAAAUUGUUAGGUGAAAAUUUUCUGGGUACCUCCUGACUCUAGCUUUCUUGUACAUGAAUGGAGAGCCUUCUUUAUAAACAUAGUGUAGCGAUAUUGCCCUAACUUGUCAAGAUAGUCUAUGUAGUGAAUCAGAGAGCACCAUGUCAUGUCAGAGACGCGGAGAGGAGGCGGCUGCAGAAGGAGGAGAAAAUGCCUUUGUAAUUACAGUAUAUAGUUAGAAAAAGGAUGGCACUGUCGUUAAACAUUACCUAGCUUCUUCGUACAUCAUGGGGAGUUUGUCUGUAAUGCUCCUUGACAAACAGUUUCGGAGUAGCCAGUCAGUCUGCAACUUAAAUAGACCACAACGGAACAAAACAAAACAAAUUGGUUUAUCUUC